UGGGGAAUAUUGCACAAUGGGCGCAAGCCUGAUGCAGCCAUGCCGCGUGUAUGAAGACGGCCUUCGGGUUGUAAAGUACUUUCAGCGGGGAGGAAGGCGAUAAGGUUAAUAACCUUGUCGAUUGACGUUACCCGCAGAAGAAGCACCGGCUAACUCCGUGCCAGCAGCCGCGGUAAUACGGAGGGUGCAAGCGUUAAUCGGAAUUACUGGGCGUAAAGCGCACGCAGGCGGUCUGUCAAGUCGGAUGUGAAAUCCCCGGGCUCAACCUGGGAACUGCAUUCGAAACUGGCAGGCUAGAGUCUUGUAGAGGGGGGUAGAAUUCCAGGUGUAGCGGUGAAAUGCGUAGAGAUCUGGAGGAAUACCGGUGGCGAAGGCGGCCCCCUGGACAAAGACUGACGCUCAGGUGCGAAAGCGUGGGGAGCAAACA
rnacentral:rRNA from 1 species